GCCGAGGGAGCGGCGGGGCGGGCCGGGGGCGGGACCGCCGCUGAGUCACCGCGCGGGCAGCCCCCGCCGCCGCGGGGGAGGCGGGUGACACCCCGGCGGGCAGGCAGCGACCCCCGCCCCGGUGCCGCGGGGCCGGGCCGCGGGCGGGCAGCUGCGCCGCGGAGGAAGCCCCGGCGGGGGCCCGUGCCCGGGCGUCCUGACCUCCCCUCCCUGCGAAAGCGGCUCCUCCUUUCAUUUUUCCGUCAGGAACCUCGCGCUUUCCCGUUUCUGUCUCGUCUUUUCACUGCCAGAACCCCAUUUUCUGUCAGAAACCUCACACUUUCCCGUUUCUGUCUCAUCUUUUCACCGCCAGAACCGUUGCGGCCUCGCGCUGUCCCCCGCGAUGUCUCCGCCGGUCACGACACGCGGGUGCCCACGGCGCAGCCGGGCCCAGGCCGCCGGCCUCGGCCCGACACAGCGGCGGUGAGGGGCGCCCCGAAACCUGCUUCAUAGCAAGAUUAUUCCAGGUUUCUUCAGAGCAGAUGAGCUGCAUCACAGCGAAGCGACAGCGGCGUCUUUACUCAUCGCAGGGAUGGAAAGCUGCUGGGCCCGUCGGACCGUGGCUUGGGGGGCUAAGCAAUGCCGAGCGUCCAGCAUCGCUUUGCCUUGGGAGAUGGACCCAUCCCCUCCAAAAACCCCAACCCCGAGGAGCCUCCGUGGGAGGCAUAUUGGGUGCUCAGCAGGUGGUGCUAUUUCCAGAGAAUUACUGUUUUCCGUGGGGCAAGGCGGAAAUCCUGAGCACUGGCAUGUAUUUAAGCCAGCCUAGGUCUUUGUGUGAGGCUGUUCUAUCACUAGGAAAAAGGGAAACGACAAAAUACCUGUGCGAAACCUAGCACAUGGAUGCAAGCCAAAGCACGCAUGACCGCUCUCUCUUCUGGCUCUGUUUGAGUCAGUCGGGGAUCAGAUUUACAGAUGCCAAGUGCCAACAGAUGCAAUCAGAGCUACGCUGUGAACAAACAAAAUGCUAUAAAAUGCUACAUGCUCCUCAAAAAGCAACUAGCAGCAUCACAAGUUGGGCACCCACUUGCGUGGUCAGUGUUCACAGUGUCAGCCUUGGUUAUGGCCAGCCUCACUGACCAGAUGCACUUUCCUUCACAGGAGUGUUGUGAGAUAUAUCUUUUCCUGUAUGCAGAGCCCAUGGAUACUACAGAGAGAAAUAACUCAUAAAAAUGAUUAUUUUUUAUUAAAUGCAGUAAAAUGA